CACAUACUCCAUCCGUCUGAAAAUACUUACCGGAGAAAUGGAUUUAUCUAGACAUAUUUUACUUCUAGAUAAAUAUAUUUUUAUUCAUUUCUUCGACAAGUAUUUCUGAACGGGGGAAGUACAUG
rnacentral:pre_miRNA from 1 species